AUUGAACGCUGGCGGCAGGCCUAACACAUGCAAGUCGAGCGGUUGAGGCAGCUUGCUACCGAUGCAGCGGCGGACGGGUGAGUAAUACAUGGGAAUCUGCCUGGUAGUGGGGGACAACGUUUCGAAAGGAACGCUAAUACCGCAUACGCCUACGGGGAAGGGGGAGUCUUCGGACCUCUCGCUAUCAGAUGAGCCCAUGUCGGAUUAGCUUGUUGGUGAGGUAAAGGCUCACCAAGGCGACGAUCCGUAACUGGUCUGAGAGGAUGAUCAGCCACACUGGGACUGAGACACGGCCCAGACUCCUACGGGAGGCAGCAGUGGGGAAUAUUGGACAAUGGGCGAAAGCCUGAUCCAGCAAUGCCGCGUGAGUGAUGAAGGCCUUAGGGUUGUAAAGCUCUUUUACCCGGGAUGAUAAUGACAGUACCGGGAGAAUAAGCUCCGGCUAAACUCCGUGCCAGCAGCCG
rnacentral:rRNA from 1 species